GCCUGGCUGGCUCAGUGGGUAGAGCAUAUGACUCUUGAUCUUGGGAUCGUGGGUUCGAGCCCCACAUUGGGUG
rnacentral:tRNA from 1 species